CAAACCCUCUCCCUCUUCUGUCUUCUUCUCCGGCGGACGGCCGCCGCCCCGCCCCGCCCUCUCGACUGCACUCUCCGGCCGACGGCGCCACCGCCGCUGCGCCACUUUCCUCUCUCUUCCUCACUCUUCUCUUCUCCCUUGCUCAGAACGAACAACCAAGAUCCGCCCAGCCAGAGCUCGGAGCCGAUGUCGAGGCGAUUUGGAGAGGGCGAGAAGCGACGCGACGGCACCGUCGAUUUGCGCCACCACGUUUCGAUUUUGAGGACUGAUCUUGGUGAUGGUGGCUAGGGUUUGCAGCGCCUCGAACAAAUCCGACCCAACUUCUUGUGAUUUGAAGGCGCCGCCGCCCACCUCCAUUAUCUUCCCUUAAUCUCCCUCUCUGUCAGCUACGACCGCCGGCUUCGUCGUGUGAUACUUGGUGAAAUUUGCAGGUACAGUGUUGAGCCAAAA